rnacentral:rRNA from 1 species
UACGUAGGCAGCAAGCGUUGUUCGGAAUUACUGGGCGUAAAGAGUGCGUAGGUGGUGUUCCAAGUCUGGUGUGAAAUCUCCCGGCUCAACUGGGAGGGUGCGCCGGAAACUGGAAUGCUUGAGGGUGGGAGAGGUAAGCGGAAUUCCUGGUGUAGCGGUGAAAUGCGUAGAUAUCAGGAGGAACACCUGUGGUGUAGACAGCUUACUGGACCAUUUCUGACACUGAGGCACGAAAGCGUGGGUAG